GACAGAGGGUGCAAACGUUGUUCGGAAUUACUGGGCGUAAAGCGUGUGUAGGCUGCUACAUAAGUCGGAUGUGAAAGCCCCGGGCUCAACCCGGGAAGUGCACUCGAUACUGCGUAGCUUGAGUCUCGGAGAGGUUGGUGGAAUUCUCGGUGUAGAGGUGAAAUUCGUAGAUAUCGAGAGGAACACCGGUGGCGAAGGCGGCCAACUGGACGAAGACUGACGUGAGACACGAAAGCGUGGGGAGCAAACAGG
rnacentral:rRNA from 1 species